rnacentral:lncRNA from 1 species
GCCCCACCCCGAUGGAGGAGGGGAACACAAGCCUGGGGGGUUUCCCAGCAGCCGCCAGGGGGCCAUCCCAGGGGAAAGGGAGGAGGCGGGGCUGAGGGAUUCCGAACCGGAGGCGGGGCUGAGAACUCCGGAUCCUCGGACCCACCACGGGCUGCAGUGACUGGGGCCCGUCCAACUUGGGAGCGCCCCCCCCCCCCCCCCGUGGGAUCCCGGUGCCCCGGGCCUUCAGGACUCUGGCCAGGCCAGGGGAAGGGAGGCCGCCUGCUCUCCUCCUCGGGCUUGGGUGCAGCCGAGCUGCCAAGCAGGGAGUUCCCGGGAAAGCAGGGCCAAUGGGAGGGGGCCAGGCUGGCAGGCCGGGGCCUGCGGAGCCCCAGCAAGUCCGGGGCAAGGCGGAGGGGCCCUGCCCGGGGAGAGACGGCCGCCGCCGCAGCUUCUAGCCGUAUUUUUGGCGCUGCCACAAAUAGCAGUGACUUCAGGGUGCAAGCUCGCCUCGGCCGUGCCCGCUCUCCCAGCAGCCCUCCUCCUGGCUGGAGUUUCCCAGAUUUUGUUUAUUCAGCUUGGGAGGAGGGAGGGUGGAGCCCUCCGGAGGAGGCUUCGCCUUCUCCCCUCCCCGCAGCCCUCAGCCAGGGCCCCACCCCGGGCAGCUUGUCAGCUGGGCUGCUGGAGGGGGAGGGGGCCCAGUCCUGCCCCGGGGGGGCCCGCCUGCACACCUCUCAGCUGUUGGGCCUUCCUUCGGGCCGGCUUAAUUUAACCCUGGUGUGGCCCCAGCGACAGCCCCUUAUUGGGGCAGGAGCCUCCCUGCUCGCGGCGCGACCCGGCUCAGCCCCGGGCACACCGACGGCGGAGGGAUGGACGGGCGGAAGGAAGGCCGAAGCGUGCCCAGGGUGCUUUUGGGGGGACUUGCCGGCCAGAUUCUCCCUCCACACGGGUGAGAGCGGAUGGAAAGGGGCCGGGGAGGGUGGGGAGUCGAGCGUCCCCGGGGCGCGGGCCUGGCCCAAGGAGCAGGGGAGAGCCGGAGCCCAGUGCCGGGGGCCGGGGGAGGGAUUCUCGUUGGCCCCGGACUUCGCUGCCCCCCUCCGUGACAAAGCCCGCUUCCAUUGGUCGGAUCUGCCAGGCCAUGUGCCAGGGGGCGCCAGGCAGCCCUCGCCCUCCCACCCUCCAGAUCCUGCUACGGAGUGA